GCUUUUGCAUAAUAAUGGAUCGCUUCCUUCGCUACCAUUGACUUACACUACAAACAUCAUAGAAUAAUAUGACAGUAUGUCUCCAAUACUAAACGCUAUAGGAUACCACACAUAAGUGGCCAAUUAUGGCUGAUUUGAAAGACAGCCGAGAUUCUUCUAAACAUAAAAUACAAAGAGACGGGAAACUGCGUUUAACAGCUAUUAUUGGUGACAUUUAGCAUAAAUAUCCUGUUAGUCAAUCCAAACGACAUCAUUUUAACUCCAAAGCACAUAAAAUUGGGCUUAAUAAAGCAAUUCGUGAAAAAAUGGAGCAACAAUAAAAUACCUUGAACAGGGUUUUCCACGAUUUACGAGCGGAAAAUUAAAAGAAGGUCCCCGACUACGGAAAUUGGUAAAUGAUGAGAAAUUCAUACAACAAGUAAAAAAGACAUGGAGUGGUUUUGUUUUAGUGUGGAAAAAUUUUCUUGGAAAACCGAAAAGUGAAAAUUAUGAGCAUAUAGUUAACAACAUGAUCGGCUUACCAUGCAAUAGGUUGCAAAAUGCCAAUAAAAUUACACUAUGUGCUUGCUCAUUUGGAAAGAUUUCCAUUAAGUGUAGGGCAGCUGAGUGAUGAGCAAGGUGAAAAAUUUCUCCAGGAAGUAUUUAAA